rnacentral:rRNA from 1 species
UACGGGGGGGGCAAGCGUUGUUCGGAAUUACUGGGCGUAAAGGGCUCGUAGGUGGCCAACUAAGUCAGACGUGAAAUCCCUCAGCUUAACUGGGGAACUGCGUCUGAGACUGGCGAGCUUGAGGGCAGGAGAGGAACGCGGAAUUCCAGGUGUAGCGGUGAAAUGCGUAGAUAUCUGGAGGAACACCGGUGGCGAAGGCGGCGUUCUGGACUGCAUCUGACACUGAAAGACGAAAGCCAGGGGAGCAAACGGG